UGAGGAAUAUUGGUCAAUGGACGGAAGUCUGAACCAGCCAAGUAGCGUGCAGGAUGACGGCCCUAUGGGUUGUAAACUGCUUUUAUAUGGGAAUAAAGUGAGGGACGUGUCCCUUAUUGCAUGUACCAUACGAAUAAGGACCGGCUAAUUCCGUGCCAGCAGCCGCGGUAAUACGGAAGGUCCAGGCGUUAUCCGGAUUUAUUGGGUUUAAAGGGAGCGUAGGCUGUUUGUUAAGCGUGUUGUGAAAUGUAAGAGCUCAACUUUUAGAUUGCAGCGCGAACUGGCAGACUUGAGUGCGCACAACGUAGGCGGAAUUCAUGGUGUAGCGGUGAAAUGCUUAGAUAUCAUGACGAACUCCGAUUGCGAAGGCAGCUUACGGGAGCGCAACUGACGCUAAAGCUCGAAGGUGCGGGUAUCGAACAGG
rnacentral:rRNA from 1 species